AGGCUCACGGGGCGCGGGCUCCCCUGGCGCGGCCGCCCGGCGCCCGGCCGCUCCGCCACAUCUGCAGCUCGGGGCAGGGAAGGUGGCCGCGGCGGCCCGGCCGUGCGGGGAUGUCUUUGCGAGGGAGGGAGGAGAGAGGAGGAGGGAGGGGGCGGGAGGAGGGACCGUCGGCCGUGGAGGAGGGCGAGGAGGAGGGGCGCGGGGGGCGGCCUCCCUCCCUCGCGGCUCACUCGCUCCCGCCCUCCCUGCAAACCCCUCUCGCCACCGCGGCCCCAGGCCCGGGGCGCCAGCUGCCAGGCGGAGCGUGCGCGUCGGGGGGAGGGGGCGGCCGGCUGGGCCGGGGGAGGGGAGGAAGGGCGGACAGCAGCGGGAGCGGGCACCGGGAAGGAGGGAGGGAGCCCCGCCGUGGCCGAGGCGUUCGAGGCCACGCUCCGCACUUCCAGCUCUGCCUUGUCUUCAGCCUCAGUUCCCCUCCUGGUGAAAUAAGCACAAGGCUUGGCCCCAACAAAUCCAGGAUUCCGAUAUCUUGGUGACUGCAGCCGAGACAGCCUGGGUCCCCCGGUCCGAGCGCCGCAGGGGUCUCCACACUUGGGGUCAGUAAGUUCAAUGAGUUGGUCACUGAGAAGUGGAUGCAAGUCAGUGACGCUUGCACACGGCAGCUAAGCUGUUUUCCACCUUUUCCUGGGAAGCUCGGGCUUGCGUUCUUUAGUGUUUUCUUUGGGUGAUUCCUGAGUCCGCGCCUAGGAUCUUCUUACCUGUCUUCUGUCUGGUGACAAAUUUGGCUUCAAAAAGACAGCCCUCCUGAUCCGAAGCUGGACUUGAGCACAGGAAACGAAAAGGCACUUCAGAUCAGCACCCUCAGUAGGUGAAGUACUGACUCCGGUUUGGAAUUCUGUUUUCAUUUCGACAUUUGAUACCGCGGUCUGCGCCAGAGCCACAUCAAGACGUGGGUCUUGAUCACAGGGCAUCCCCAUCACCAAGCACUGCCCUUGACACAUGCUCUUGAUCUGGUGCGCAGGUAGGCACAUAAUUGGUGCUCCUGAUGUGGUGAACAAACGCACACGUAGUCAGUACUCUUAACUGAUUAUGUAGCCAUGAUGCGUGCUCCUUACAUUUGGAACGAAGACACAUAUUAGGUGCUUAUGAUCUUUCAGUACAUGAAAGGGAUUUAGGAAGGACGGUUCACUAGGAGCAAAAGCCGUAAGGCAGGGAUAAGGUUGCUCUCCCCAUUCCCAUUUCUCAUGUGUAGAUAAUGUCACAGUGCUGCCCGGUUAAACAUUAGCUGGCAGAUGGACUUGGGGAAGGCCAGCUCUGGGACCUAAAGCUUCCAGGAGGGGGCUGUUAAGGGCCGACUCUCUGGAUCCUGCCACUAGCGGGACAUCACAGAGUCAGAGGCGAAGCGCUGCAAAGCGCCCCCUCCCGGCGUCUUGAAUCUAUGAUUCAAGCUCUUCUCUUAGCCUAGUCCCAGCGCGGAAUCUCAGCCCAGCUAACUGCAGUCCUGAGAAGCAUCGGUAGUACUAAACUGGCUGGCUAGUAUAAAUCUCAACUUAGAAAAAAAAAAUGCUUAUUGAGGAGCUGGGAGUAUAGCUCAGUAUUACAGUGCAUGUUCCUAGGUUCAAUCCUUGAUACCAGAAAAAAAGUAUCAAGUGCUUGUAGGACACCAGGCACUAUGUAAUUGUAGGGACAAAAGGCCAACAACUGGGAGAGACUUGGCCCUAACAAACUUCACCUUCAAAAUUUAUUUUUUUUCGUUUUGCUCCCAGGAAGAACUCAGACCCAGGAUCCCGAGUGUCUGGGAACAUGGAGGUACACUUACAUUAUAUAGACUAAUACCACCAUUAAAUGGCAAGCCUGGCCCGAUUCCAGGACCAAGCUUGUGCCCUCAUAACUACCGAGGGUUGGGAGGGGAACCUAAACAAAAUUUGUCUGUUUCCUACAAAACUAACAAGAUUAAAGAAAGAAGCCUGGAAUCCAGCACUCUGGAGAAUCACCACAAGUUGGAGGUCAGCCUGAACUAUAUAGUAAAUUCAGGGCAGCCUAGGCUACAAAAUGAAAUCCUAUCUCCAGCAUUUAAAAAAUAAAAGUGUAGCCGGGCGGUGGUGGCGCACGCCUUUAAUCCCAGCACUCGGGAGGCAGAGCCAGGCGGAUCUCUGUGAGUUCGAGGCCAGCCUGGGCUACCAAGUGAGUCCCAGGAAAGGCGCAAAGCUACACAGAGAAACCCUGUCUCGAAAAACCAAAAAAAUAAAAUAAAAUAAAAUAAAAAAAUAAAAGUGUUUGAAGCCAGCCCAAUUCAUAUAGCAGGUCCCAGGACAGAAAGGGCUACACAGGACGACCCUGUCUCAAAAUAAAACUGUAAGAGUGAAGAUAGAUUGCUAAACUAGGUGUGGUAGUGGCUCAAGUCCGCAAUCAGAACCUGGAUUUUAAGGCUGGCUUUGGGGCCAAGAUUCUAUCUCAAAACCCCAAUCCUCAACUAGACAAAUUCCUUCUCUGCGCCGUUUUCUUUAUACCUUUUCACUAUAUUCUCAACAACUUCAAGAGUGGGCCCCAUUAUUCUCAUUUUACAGAGGUAGAAACCAAGGCAAAAGGACAUUAACAUAGCCAAAGUUUUUUGUUGUUUUUGUUUUUCGAGACAGGGUUUCUCUGUGUAGCCCUGGCUGUCCUCGAACUCGAGAUCCGCCUGCCUCUGCCUCCUGAGAGCUGGGAUUAAAGGCGUGCACCACGGCCUAGUGAUAGCCAAAGUUUUAUAAGCUAGUGGGAGGCAUAAUUCAGGUUGCAAUCUCAAUGGAUCUGAGGCUUGAUUCCAAAGCCUGUACUUGAACCCUCUGCCUCUCUAGGACAUGAGAUAUCUGAAAAGGUAGGGGAUCAAAGGGUUUUCUUGGGAUUCUUCAUGGUAAACAGUGGGUAAAGGGGACAUUCCUCUCUGGUCUUAGUCUCUUGGUGGUGGUUCUCUGCUCCCUUGGAGCCUCUCUCCGAGCAGGCACUCUUCCUCGUGUGCCCAGAACUGAAAGGAGGGUAGUUUUCCCUCUAGAUGGCACGUCCCCCCACCCCAAGGCUGGACUCACUGACAUUGCUCUGAGUUUUCCCUUUCAGGGGAGUAAAGGCUCCCUAAGAAUGACUGGUUGAUACAUUUGAGUUUGGUGUCCUAAUCCUUUACUAGUAAACAUGUAUUGAACCGGGGUAUGGCGAGGUGGUGCAACACUUUUGAGUAUGACCAAAAACAAAACAAAGCCAAAAAUAAAAAAUAAAAAACA